AGACCAAAUGCGAAGCGUUGGCCUCGGUAAUCGCAAGCGCCCACACUGAUCAUACGAUGACGUAGGAUGACGGCUCCGCCUCUCGAAGGGGGUGGGGCCGAUUUUCUUUCGAGGUGGCCCGCGUUCAGGGGGUGCGGGUCCAAAUGGCGCGAGGGACCCAUUCAAUCG
rnacentral:misc_RNA from 1 species